rnacentral:rRNA from 1 species
UCUGGUUGAUCCUGCCGGAGGCCACUGCUAUUGGGAUCCGAUUAAGCCAUGCGAGUCGAGAGGGUUCGGCCCUCGGCAGACGGCUCAGUAACACGUGGAUUAAUCUACCCUUAGGUGGAGGAUAAUCUCGGGAAACUGAGGAUAAUACUCCAUAAGUCUAGGAGGCUGGAAUGCAUCUAGGCUAAAAACUUCGGUGCCUAAGGCCUAAGGAUGAGUCUGCGGACUAUCAGGUAGUAGUCAGGGUAAUGACCUGACUAGCCUACGACGGAUACGGGUUGUGAGAGCAAUAGCCCGGAGACGAUAUCUGAGACACGAUAUCGGGCCCUACGGGGCGCAUCAGGCGCGAAACCUUCACACUGUGCGAAAGCACGAUGAGGGGAUCCCAAGUGCUGGUUCGUGGGAGUCAGCUGUUUCUAUGUCUAAAAGACAGAGAGAGUAAGGGCUGGGUAAGACGGGUGCCAGCCGCCGCGGUAAUACCUGCAGCUCAAGUGGUGGCCGCUAUUAUUGGGCCUAAAACGUUCGUAACCGGUUUAGUAAAUGCUUGAGUAAAUUGUGUCGCUUAACGAUACGAAUACGGGAUAGACUGCUUCACCUUGGGGACCGAGGAGAGAUUAGAGGUACUGCGUGGGGCCACACGUUGAAAGUUCUGUCAUCCUGGGAGCGACCUCCAGUGGCGAGAGCAUCUACUGAGAACCGAAUCUGAUUGAUGACGCACGUAGCCCUGGGGCACCAACCCUGCACUCAGAUAGCUAGGUCAGUUCCCGGACGCUACACUCCUGGCUCGAUAGAAUGUUAGUGGACUUGCGAGCCGAACUUCGGUUCGGACGUAUAUUGUAAGGCAAGUCUGCCGGACACACCGCUCCGUAGACUGUACCUAUGUAUGCGCGAACAUCCCGGGGCAGUACGUAUCGAUACCCCCCGUAUCUCACAG